rnacentral:rRNA from 1 species
UCGCCUGUUUAUCAAAAACAUAGMCAGCAGUUAUUAUUGUUGGUAACUUCUGCCCAAUGAAUAUUUUUAAUGGCCGCAGUACCCUGACUGUGCUAAGGUAGCAUAAUAAAUUGGCUUUUAAUUGAAGUCUGGAAUGAAUGAAGAAACGGAAAAAAACUGUCUUUUUCUGGUUAAUAAAAAAUUAUUUAGGUGGUGAAAAUCCCAUCUUUAAAAAUAGGACGAGAAGACCCUGAGAAUUUUUAAUAAAAAUUUUUAUAAGUUUGUUUUUUUAGCUGGGGCGGCUUAGGAUCAGUUUAAUUUUAACAUCCUGAUGUUUAUCUGUUUUUAGCAUAUUUUGCUAAUAUUACCUUAGGGAUAACAGCAUAAUUUUAUUUUUAGCUUGUGACCUCGAUGUUGGACUAGGGUUCUUAAGAUUAAAAGUCUAAAAGUUUUGUKCUGUUCGAACAUUUUUCCCUACAUGAUCUGAUUCCAGACCGSW